rnacentral:rRNA from 1 species
AGUGAACGCUGGCGGUAGGCCUAACACAUGCAAGUCGAACGGCAGCACAGUAAGAGCUUGCUCUUACGGGUGGCGAGUGGCGGACGGGUGAGGAAUACAUCGGAAUCUACUUUUUCGUGGGGGAUAACGUAGGGAAACUUACGCUAAUACCGCAUACGACCUACGGGUGAAAGCAGGGGAUCUUCGGACCUUGCGCGAUUGAAUGAGCCGAUGUCGGAUUAGCUAGUUGGCGGGGUAAAGGCCCACCAAGGCGACGAUCCGUAGCUGGUCUGAGAGGAUGAAUCAGCCCACUUGAACUGAAACACCGGUCCGACUCCCUACGGAAGCAAGCAGUGGGGAUUAUGGGACAAUGGGGGAAAGCCGGUCCCAGCAUAACGGCUUGGGGAAAGAGGGCCUUCGGUUGGAAAAGCCCUUUUGUUGGGAAAAAAAGGCAGCAGGUUAAAACCCCGCUGUUCUGCCGGAACCAAAGGAAAAACCACCGGCAAACUUCGG